UACGUAGGGUGCAAGCGUUAAUCGGAAUUACUGGGCGUAAAGCGUGCGCAGGCGGUUCUAUAAGACAGAUGUUAAAUCCCCGGGCUCAACCUGGGAACUGCAUUUGUGACUGUAGAGCUGGAGUACGGUAGAGGGGGAUGGAAUUCCGCGUGUAGCAGUGAAAUGCGUAGAUAUGCGGAGGAACACCGAUGGCGAAGGCAAUCCCCUGGACCUGUACUGACGCUCAUGCACGAAAGCGUGGGGAGCAAACAGG
rnacentral:rRNA from 1 species